rnacentral:rRNA from 1 species
GGGUUGUGAGGUUAAGCGACUAAGCGUACACGGUGGAUGCCCUGGCAGUCAGAGGCGAUGAAGGACGUGCUAAUCUGCGAAAAGCGUCGGUAAGGUGAUAUGAACCGUUAUAACCGGCGAUGUCCGAAUGGGGAAACCCAGUGUGAUUCGUCACACUAUCGUUAACUGAAUACAUAGGUUAACGAGGCGAACCGGGGGAACUGAAACAUCUAAGUACCCCGAGGAAAAGAAAUCAACCGAGAUUCCCCCAGUAGCGGCGAGCGAACGGGGAGCAGCCCAGAGUCUGAAUCAGCUUGUGUGUUAGUGGAACGGUCUGGAAAGUCCGACGGUACAGGGUGAUAGUCCCGUACACCAAAAUGCACAGGUUGUGAACUCGAAGAGUAGGGCGGGACACGUGGUAUCCUGUCUGAAUAUGGGGGGACCAUCCUCCAAGGCUAAAUACUCCUGACUGACCGAUAGUGAACCAGUACCGUGAGGGAAAGGCGAAAAGAAC